AGCAACUGAAUGCCUGGGUGGAUCAAGGUGGUGAUCUCUUUUCGUCCUGUAGCAAAGUAGACUUGUGGGUGUGGUCUGCCUUCACUGAGAUGGAAAUAAGAAAUUACAACUAGAGACCAUCAGAUCUGUAAGGCCUGGAGAGCCACGCAGAAGGAUGCAGACUGGUCAUCGGGCAGGAGUAUUGGUGCACAGAUGGCCAGUAUUGGAGGCUGAGACUUGAGAGAUGUCAAACAUCUGAGUGGGAUGGGAAAAAAUGAAGCUGAGAGUGUUGCAAUGAACUUCCCAAGGUCAUUCAUCUGAUUCAGCUAUACCCCGAAUAGAAGUGUGUAGAAGAUGCUACAUGUGCCUCAGAGAGGCAGACAGUGAAAUGGUCAGGAAAGGAGGGAAGAAAUUUAAUUGGUAUAUUGUGAGUCAGAUAUAUCAGUAGGCCAAAACAACGUUCAGGAGACAGAGGUAAGUUGUCCUUUCUUGACAAGUCAGAGGCAACAUUGGGUGUUGCAUGGGGAAAUUUAUUUACCAGAUUAAAGGGGAGGAAGUUGUGCUAGCAGAAGGUUAAUAGCUUUCCACUACAGUGAUAAUUCUGCACAUACAUGGAGUAUCCUUCAUAGCUGGCAAAGUCAUUUUUAUAAAAGGAAUUCACAGCUAUUUUCUCAUUUAUUUCAU
rnacentral:lncRNA from 1 species